GAUGAACGCUGGCGGCGUGCCUAAUACAUGCAAGUCGAGCGAACGGACGAGAAGCUUGCUUCUCUGAUGUUAGCGGCGGACGGGUGAGUAACACGUGGAUAACCUACCUAUAAGACUGGGAUAACUGCGGGAAACCGUAGCUAAUACCGGAUAAUAUUUUGAACCGCAUGGUUCAAAAGUGAAAGACGGUCUUGCUGUCACUUAUAGAUGGAUCCGCGCUGCAUUAGCUAGUUGGUAAGGUAACGGCUUACCAAGGCAACGAUGCAUAGCCGACCUGAGAGGGUGAUCGGCCACCCGGGAACUGAGACACGGUCCCGACUCCUACGGGAGGCGGCAGUCGGUAAUCUUACGAGCAGGGCGAAAGCCUGCCGGAGCAACGACGCGUGAGUGAUGACGGUAUUAGGAUCGCAAAACUCUGUUAUUAGGGAAGAACAUCUGUGUAAGUACGUGUGCACACCUUGACGGUACCUAAUCAGAAAGCCACGGCUCACCACGUG
rnacentral:rRNA from 1 species